CAACGCAUAAAAUACAGACGACACGAGUAUUUUUUUUUUUUUUUUCAAUUAGAAAACAAGCCAGUUCAAAGCUUUCUGUUCUUCUCGGUGAAAAGUGAACCUGGGCAGCAACACAACUAAACCAUCAUGCCAAAAAUCAUCACGAGCAACUCGAGAUUUCUGAAAACGAUUUGAAAAUUAGCUAGGUAGCGGUAGGCUCCGAAAUGAUCUGAAAGUGCUGGUUUUUCAAGAAAUCAAGAUGAAGGGGAUUGAAAUCAAGUGCGUAGAUCAUCGCAGAUCAUAUUCAGUAUCAGUACCAUACUUACCCUUAAAAUCCUGACAGCACUGAUCCUAUGCUACAGCUUCAAUACAUGCAACAGCAGCAGAAUUAUGGGAAAUAGCCAAAAAAUAUGGGCUAUACUGAAUAGACUUUAUUAUUUUAUUUUAAGUAUUUUAUUUUGUUACCAGAUUCGCUUAUAAUCAUUUUUUUAAAGCGUUAAAAUAAUUAUAAGAGCUAAAAAUAUUAUAUCUUCAGAGAUUUUCCAUGACAUUUUCGCCUAUAUUGGCCAUAAUUACCAUGGCCUUUAUUAGUGAUAAGUAAUAUUAUAAUACCAGAUGGUAGAAAUAAAUGUGUGAAAACUUUUUCAAAAAUCCUGCAAAUAUGUAUGAUUUAAUUUUAGGUUCAGAAUCAUUCAGAAACGCUUAUAAACCAUUUCGUCGAAAUAAUUUGGAAUUAUUGAGAAAUUCUAACCUAUUUUGAUAGGUUGCAAGGUCACAUUUUGAAUGAUUGUAUGAUACUACAUUUUCACUUGAAAUUGGAAGAGGGACCUCAGUUUGAAAUUGCAGCCCAUUGUGGGAGUCGUUUCAGUUGAUGUGGAAAGAACUCAUUUAAGCUAUAAAUAUGAAUUUUUUUGGCCUUCAACUUCAAUCGAAUUUCACGAUGACCGUCUAAAAAAAUUGAAAAUGUGUUCAGUAAACACAAACCAAAGUCCCUGGGUCUUUUGAGGGCCAUUUGAAAUUUCUGAAGCUGAUUAAAAAAAUCAUCCGUGGCUUCAGAAUGCCCGAAACUAAAAGUUUUUGAUGUGUGGGAGUUUGAAUUUAAAGAAUUAUUCACAUUGGCUCACAUUCACUCAGAAAAAUUUAUACAUUUCAUGAAAACGUUCCAGAAUCUCCCUUAAAACAGCUUCUUUGAGUUUAAAAAAUUUUUAAAAAUUCACCCAAAAUCCAAAAAUGAAUUUCAUUACCUAUUUGAAAUUUUUAUUACUAAGGUUUUAAGACGUGUUCUUUCGAUCUAAAUCGGAGAAUAGAAAUUUGAAAAGGGUUCUCUUGUACUUAUACAGACAACAAAAAUAACUCAUCGAUAUAAAUUCGAAUCAACCCUAAGAAAUAUAGGUCUAAUUCUAAUUAAUCGAUGGCAUUCUUUCGUUUUUCAAUUUCCUUUUCCGAUAACAUUAGUUAUAAUCGAUAAAAACUUCAACCAACGCUAAUAAAAUCUUUCGAAUUAAUCAGCAACCUACUACGUAAAACUGCGCAGUUAUAAGAAAAUUACACGAGUAUACUUUUCUUCUCAAAAUAGGCCAGUCUAGAGCACUUUGCUGAUCUCUGUGAAAGAAGAAUUUCUCAAGCUACACAAAACAGAACCAUCAUGUAUAAUAAAUAUACAAACAUCCUCGCGAUCGUAAUGGGCAUUAUAGCCACAGUAAGCGUCAUUAUCAAACCAUUUUUGUAAUAUUUCUCAGAACCGUGGAUAAAACGGCGUUAAAAUGUACUCUACUGAUCCAGUAAGGGCCUGCUACGGAUUUAACGUAGCCCUUUUUUCUCGCCAACGUCGCUUUUACUUAUACUUAUACCUAUGUUUUUAAAUUGACCCUCUAAUAAUUGUAAUACUAGAUGAUAGAAAUACAUACUAAGUUCAAAUACUUAAUCAUUAAGUCGUAGCCUUGUAAGCAAAAAUAACGAAUAGAUAUAACUUUAAACAAUAACAUGGGAAAAUAAUUUUUUUUUUUUUACUUCGAUCAAAUCAAUAAAAUCGUUGUGUUUUUUCAUUUUAUUCCUGCAAAAAUUAUCUAUCGUUUCAAUCUGCUCGAAGAUGUAGACGACUUAGAAACUUUAUUUCAUACGAGUAACAAAGUGGAUCGAAGAAAAAAAGUAUCCGAGAUUUUGGCAAAAAUUAAUGGAAAAGUUUACUUUGAGUGAGAUACCACCCAGAUAAAAUUUGAGCCUUCCUGCUGUUCAAAGGGUUGAGCCAGGGCUCCUCAAAGUUGGGUCAUUAUCGAAAAAACCGUGGGUUUUGGCCACUUUGGGGCAUUACAACAUGUGCAAUCUCUCAGUCACCUCAAAAGUUACGAUUCAAGUUCCUAAAUCUCCCUGACUCAAUUCAUCAACAAUUUUGUAAAAAAAAAAUAUAUCUACGUCUUACAGACAACAAAAAUAACUCACCGAUAUAAAUUCGAAUCAACCCUAAGAAAUAUAGGUCUAAUUCUUAAUCAAUCGAUGGCAUUCUUUCGUUGUUCAAUUUCCUUUUCCGAUAACAUUAGUUAAUUAUCGAUAAAAACUCCAAUGAACGCUAAUAAAAUCUCUCGAAUUAAUCAGCAACCUGAUUAAACACCGUAAUUAUAAACAAAUUGAACCAGUAUAAUUUUCUUUUCAAAAUAGGACAGUUGAGAGCACUCUGCUGUUCUCUGUGAAAGAAGAAUCUCUCCAGCAACACAACAGAACCAUUAUGGGAACAUUCACAAAAGUCGUCACGAUCGUAAUGGGCGUUGUUUACACAAUAGGCAGCAUUGUCCACACAUUUUUUUACUAACAAAACGGCGUUAAAAUGUUGAACAACAUGGAAAAAAUAAUCCAAAAUGGUGACCAUAUUUGCGUGAAAAUACGAACUGAACACUUUGAACCAUUAUUUUGCCUCGAUCAAAUCAUUAUAAUGAUUAAUCAUUUUGUUUUUUCAUUUACCUAUAACCUACUUAUUUCAGUAAAAAAUAUUGUUUCGUAGAAUAAAUAAUAAAUCAUCUCAAAAUAAA